rnacentral:rRNA from 1 species
CCUACGGGAUGCACCAGUGGGGAAUAUUGCACAAUGGGCGCAAGCCUGAUGCAGCCAUGCCGCGUGUAUGAAGAAGGCCUUCGGGUUGUAAAGUACUUUCAGCGGGGAGGAAGGUGUUGAGGUUAAUAACCUCAGCAAUUGACGUUACCCGCAGAAGAAGCACCGGCUAACUCCGUGCCAGCAGCCGCGGUAAUACGGAGGGUGCAAGCGUUAAUCGGAAUUACUGGGCGUAAAGCGCACGCAGGCGGUCUGUCAAGUCGGAUGUGAAAUCCCCGGGCUCAACCUGGGAACUGCAUUCGAAACUGGCAGGCUAGAGUCUUGUAGAGGGGGGUAGAAUUCCAGGUGUAGCGGUGAAAUGCGUAGAGAUCUGGAGGAACACCAGUGGCGAAGGCGACUCUCUGGUCUGUAACUGACGCUGAGGCUCGAAAGCGUGGGGAGCAAACAGGAUUAGAUACCCUCGUAGUC